rnacentral:lncRNA from 1 species
GAUGGGACAGGGCCAGUCUGCAAGCCACUGCUCCUCUGCAGGUGUGGGAGGGAGAGGCAUCACACGCAGGAUUUACCAGCUGAGAUGGUCUGUGUCCAACAGGAGAAUAAAGGAAAGGCCCUGUUUGUGUGGCCUCAGCCACCUGCAGAAGGUACUGGUUCAUGUACCUCCACUGGCACUUGGUACAGAUUAAAGAAUGAGGGUAAAAAAAAAAUCUGUCUUUGAGCCAAGAGGCAGGGCUUCCUCACACCGCGGGACACAGCCCUACGGUUCCCGUGAGAAAGCCCCAGCAACAGGACGCUACUGUGGGGAGGUUCGCUGUCCCUGGGAGGAUUUCUCGAUGGUGACAGUAACAAAGUCACAGACCCCCAUCUGGGCAGAGAAGCAUGUCCCUGUUCCUGGUGCUGGACAUAUUCUGCGGCUCUCUCCUGAUGAAGACACCAAAGGCUUCCUGUGUUCCCUGAGGGGGUGACUGUGUGGCUACAGGUAGAUGUGGCCCAGGGACCCAGAGCGCUCAGAAUAAAAGACAGCGAUUGUUCCCACCUUGGGUGUGAAACAUCUUCCAAAAGGAAGCAAAUUACAUUAUAAUAAUAAUGACUACGGUCUGGUUUACUCUGGUUAAAGAGGGCAAUAAAAUAAGACAGUCUUUCUUCCUGAAAGACAGAAUCUCUUCUUAAUGACAAAGC